CGCAGUCACUCAGGAGAUCACCUUCCCAAUUGCAUUUUAGAAGGGUGUGGCAGAUUCAAGAUGCAGAAGGGAGGAGAGAAGGAAGGAGGUGAAGGAGACGGCACAGGCAGAGGUACAGAGUGGUGACUGAAACCACACACCAUGUUGGGAGACUUCCAAACAAGUCUAGAGAGUUGGCACUUAGGGAUGAAGAAAUCAUCUUCUGGGUACACUUGGUCUUUCCUGAUGAAGCUUUUAAGAGAAAAGCAGAGUUGACCCUGGGCUUUCAAAAAACUCUUCUUUCAGGCAAAACCUCAGAGAGAACUGGCUGCUAGUGAUCCUCUGCAGAGACCUUGAAGAGCACGGCAAUUAUGAAACUUCAACAAGAAAAGAUUUAAGCUGAUCUUUAAAAAAAAUAUACUGUCAGGAAUUUUGUAGAAAUGACUUUAAUGUAAUAACUGCUUCUUUGACUUAUGUUUUGUCUGGUGGUGAAAAGAAAAAUAUUUAUAAAAGCAUGCCUGUGUCCUAAAAUUGGGGACACAAACUUAAAUGACUGAAGGCACUUAAGGAGUGGAGGCAAGGAUGGUGAAACCAGGCCCUGUACCAAGCAGGAGAGCGUGAACCUGCUAAAGAGAGUGACUGCUUCUCAUUUCCAGUCGAUGCGACUGGUGUCACAUUCCAGUCAAAUGGAGUUGUGACACCAUUUCAGCCACAGCGAUUGAUCUGGAUUUUCUGUAAAAUUCCCUGAUUUUUACAUAUUGCCAAUUAAUUAAUUAAUUAAAAAGAAAUGUAGAUGUUCAACCAUGCUGUGUACUCCGGAAAUACCUUUAUAUGACAUCAUGGGCCUAAAUUUUGGGCCAAAGGAGCUAGAGAAAAAGUACAGGAAUUCAUCAGAUCCAACAUCACUACUGGAUAUUUAAAUAGUCCAGGACGGGCGCGUGGCUCACUCCUGUAAUCCCAGCACUCUGGGAGGCCGAGGCAGGCAGAUCAUGAGGUCAGGAGAUCGAGACCAUCCUGGCUAACACGGUGAAACCCUGUCUCUACUAAAAAUACAAAAAAUUAGCUGGACGUGGUGGCAGGCACCUGUAGUCCCAGCUACUAGUGAGGCUGAGGCAGGAGAAUGGCAUGAACCCGGGAGGCAGAGCUUGCAGCGAGCCGAGA